rnacentral:rRNA from 1 species
GACAGAGGUGCCGAGCGUUAGGCGGAAUCACUGGGCUUAAAGCGUGUGUAGGCGGGCGGGCAAGUACCUUGUGAAAUCCCACGGCUCAACCGUGGAACGGCUGGGUAUACUGCCUGUCUUGAGCCAACUAGGGGCGAGCGGAACAGACGGUGGAGCGGUGAAAUGCGUAGAUAUCGUCUGGAACGCCAAAGGUGAAAACAGCUCGCUGGGGUUGUGCUGACGCUGAGACACGAAAGCCAGGGGGGCAAACGGG